CACGAACGCUGGCGGCAGGCUUAACACAUGCAAGUCGAGCGCCCCGCAAGGGAGCGGCAGACGGGUGAGUAACGCGUGGGAAUCUACCCAUUUCUACGGAAUAACGCAUGGAAACGUGCGCUAAUACCGUAUACGUCCUUCGGGAGAAAGAUUUAUCGGAGAUGGAUGAGCCCGCGUUGGAUUAGCUAGUUGGUGGGGUAAAGGCCUACCAAGGCGACGAUCCAUAGCUGGUCUGAGAGGAUGAUCAGCCACACUGGGACUGAGACACGGCCCAGACUCCUACGGGAGGCAGCAGUGGGGAAUAUUGGACAAUGGGCGCAAGCCUGAUCCAGCCAUGCCGCGUGAGUGAUGAAGGCCCUAGGGUUGUAAAGCUCUUUCACCGGUGAAGAUAAUGACGGUAACCGGAGAAGAAGCCCCGGCUAACUUCGUGCCAGCCGCCGCGGUAACAC
rnacentral:rRNA from 1 species